rnacentral:rRNA from 1 species
AUGGCCGCCACUGCCUCAGAGCCGCCCAUGGUGGAGCAAGUGAUCACCGAGUUCUUUGCCAAGAGCCUCCACAUCAUCCUGGAGUCCCGCUCGCCCUACGAAUCAUCACGCAGCUUCACGCGGCCUUCACCGCCAUCUUCGCCGCUCUCUGGCAGCCAGCCACGGGACAGGUGGUUCAACCUUGCCCUCCGGGACUGCCCAGCUGCACUUGAGAACUUUGACCUGUGGAGACAGAGCAAUCUUGAGCCACUGGUUAUUGAUAUUGUGAUGCUCUGGCGUGACAAUCCCAACACCACCUGUUCUGAGGGUGGCAAGAUCAUAGAGAGGUGGGUGAUACAGUAUGAAACCAGCAAGCCUGGCAGUGGCAGUGGUAAUGGCAGCAAGAACCACAGCAGGAAGUCUAGGAACAGCCCGGCUGAGGAUCAUAGCUUGUACAGGAGUACAUACAAGGGCUCAACAGUGUUAUUUCGGUCAUUGCAUCUGGUUGUCAGGCUCUUGCCAGCUUACAAUCUCUUCAGGGAGUUGAAUUCGUCUGGGAGAAUCCGUCCACUUAACCUGUCACAUAAGAUAUCAUCAUUCGUCGAGCCGUUUACUAGGGCAGAGGAUGCAGAGAUGAAGCACUAUGCAUUUGCUCCAAUUGAAACUCUGUUUGGCCGCCUGAGCUUGUCAGUUUCUUAUGUGCCAGUGCUGGAGGUGGUGGCAGCACCAGAGCCAACCACACACAUGUCAACAGAGCUUAUACUGGAUUAUGUCGGGAGCCCCACAACAGACUUCCUCAGGACGUUCAAUUCCCUGCCUUCAGAUGGCAUUGCACCUGAUUGUGCUGCAAUGACUAGGCGUCACAGUUGGAGUAUUGACCCUGGAGCUAGACCAUCGGUAUCACCAUCUCCUCUUUUGCAUGAUAGUCCUCUAACACGUUUGCAUCCACAUAGCACAAUAUCCUCUGGGAAGAAAAAAAGUACAGGAUUUGAAGACUGCUAUCCGUCACCACCGUUGUCACCAUCGCCAUCCCGUUCCCCUUCUGCUAGCUACCCAAAAAAUUCUUUGUUCCGAUACGAGAGUGCUCCUGUGGUCAUUCCCACUGGGAGGGACGGUGGAGGUAGUGGACUGCCUCCUUCUCCAUCUUUCAAGGGUAAACACCAGCUCCCAUCUCAAAACUACAACCCAACCCCAUCGCCUGAUGGAAAUUCAAAUGUAAGGAAGGAUUUGGUCAGGUUUGGUGAAUUUGAGAAUAAUGCGGCCAUGCAAAAGGUGCUAUCUUUUGAUAAAUAUGAUUUGGGAUAUUUUCAUGGAUUGAAGUUGACUCGGACUGCAAGCAAACUUUUUAUCACGGAUGAACUGGAUGAGCGGGAGUUGGCAUUUGCAUGGGAAGAUAGAGAUAUCAUUAUUGAUCAACUUAACAGGGUUGGUAUCUCGGAUAGGGAGGGCCAAGAGACAAACUUGGACGCUGGAGGCUCGAUGACAAGGACUCCGGCUGCAGCCAUCGGCGCUCUUGUGCGCAUGCUCAAGACGGCCCCGGGCCUCAGGGCAAGCCGCCAAUCAAUCGAAGCUCCUCCCCCAGUUCCUCAAGAAUCUUCGGUUCAGAGGGUCAUGACCGAGGAACACGGUGACGCUGCAUCAAGCUCUGCUUUGCUCCAAUCAAAGACGGCAGCGGACGCGCUGGAGGAGCUAAAGAAAUACAAGGCUAUCAGAGAAUCGAUACUGGACCGCGCGAAAGCGCUGCCCCGGGAUGAUGGGAAGAUGGGGGAGAAACCCGCCGAUGGAGAUCUUUAG